CCAGAAUUAGUAAAGUUUGACUACAUUUAUUUCAGAAGCAUUUUGGCUGUAGAGCAGUGUAACAGGCCUGCACGAUGCCAGCUCUGCCACAGGGCUGGGAUAUUUUUACCUGCAUGCCAUGAUAUCACGGCCCUGCAAUGAGCUUUCCAACCUCACUGCCCUGUAGCUCAGCCAGUGUGAUACCAUGGCAUGCAACCGAGCUGGGUAACAAAGCCUGUGAUCUGACAGGUUCAGUGCAGCCUUUUGCAGGAAUUUAGUGGCAAGGUAAGAUCUGUAGCUUUGCAGGUGUUGGUGUCAUUCUGGCUCAGCCCCAUUCAGCUUCCCACCCUCACCCCCUUCAGGACCAUCUGCAGACACUCCACAGCCUCCACUUUUGUUAGCUAAUUCUAAACUAGCUUAAUACCUCUGUAGGAAUUUAAACAGCUUCUACAGCUUCAUGAACAGGAGCUGGCGUUUUAAAAGCCUAACACUCCCUGAUUAGGACAGCGAGAGAUCUCUGUGGUAAAAGCCCUUUAGGAGGUUUCAGCCCUUAUGCCUCUGAAUGAUUGUUCUUUUAUUUUACAAGGAAAAGCUAUUACAAAAGGUAGCAGAAACCCACAACUCUGAUUCCCAAGCAUUUUAAAUGAAAUCCCAAAGCAGAAUUCACCCCAUCAUAUUCCCAGAGAUAAAUGAAACAUGCAACAGCAAAAUAUUGUUGCUCUAUGGCCUGAUUUAUUGCUACUGCAUGGUGUUAAAUACUUUGCAUUAGGAUAUGGCCCUUCGUAUACAAUCUACCCAGUUAAAAUCUCUGCUCCUUCCCCUGUUGUUGAUGUCACACAAAAGUUUCUGGCUGAUUCAGUUGGAUCACACUGAUUUCUUCUUCUAAAUGAGGAAACUUCUCUCCCAUUCAGGAUCUUGUUUUCCCAGAUUAAAUGUCUCUCUUCUUUAAUUCAGCCUCUAGACUCGCUCAUGUCUGAGGAAUUGUGUGCAAAGUUGUCCCCUGGGCAAGGAGCAGCUAUGCAGAUUUCAGGGCAAGGUCAGCUCUUCAGCCAGGCGAACAGGUGACAAGAUCUCUCUCAGGCUGGGAUUUGCUCCUCUCUCUUCUCCCCUCUUGUUCUCACUCUCUUCCCAGCCAGGAUGUCGCACAGGGAGAAGGGGAAGGAUGUGCCUCUAGGAGGAACGCCUGAAGGUGGGAAUGGCGGAGUGCUUGGCCAGCUGCUCAGGCAUCACCAGCUCCAGGGUGGCUUGGAGCUGCGACGACCCAAAGGUGGGGAGAUGGCUGUUCAGCCUCAGCUGCUCGGCCUCUGUGGACACCCAGCUGUAGAGGUCACUCACAAAGGAUUUCAUCAGCUUUCUGGCUUUGCCUGACAUGCGCACCUUGCCCUGGUGCAGCUGGCACAGGAUUCUGGAGACAUACAGGGAGUGGGAGCAUUUCUUCACCAGGCUGCUCCUUGCUGGCUCUGGUCGUCUCCUGCUGCCCUUCCUGAGGCUGGAGCAUCCUCCACUUGGGCUUUGGAUGCAUCCUUCUGCAUAAGGGCCACUUUCUCCUCUGAGCCUGAGCCACCUUCUUCCUUCCUGCCUGGGCACCUGCCAUGGCUCCACUCUGGGACGGCUCAGCUCAUUUCAGUUCCUACCGCACCUGCUGCCCUCUUAUAUAUUGGCUGGCAUGCAAAUGAGGGGUGCUCAUUGUGACAGACCCCAUUACCCAACUAUGCAUGACUAUGAUCAGUUCCUUCCCCUAUGUGAAUGAAAAAACCUGCCUGCUCAUUGGCAAUCAAGAUGCUACAGCACCUUUAUGGACUUAUAAUAGACUCCUGCUACCCCACAGAGAUUUAUGGGGAAUAAUUACACAUUAUUAUAAUUAAAAUAUUCGAAGGAUCACCAAUGAAUGAUUAUUCUCAUGAUAAUAUUAUAUUAUAGAUUUAUAGUCAAUUCAUUAAUUAUCAUGGACUUACUAUUGACAUUAUCACGUGUUUGUUAUUUAUUUUAUUAUUGUGUUAUUAUUCACUUUUAUUGAUGACUAUCAACCAUUGAAAGUAUUUGGUGCCAUGUCCUACUCUCUCUCACCAGUAUAAAUCCAUGCUAACUCAGUUGCGGCCAUUGGAGUUAGUGAAGUAUAAAUCCGGAGCAAAUGAUGGCAAAAUUUGGCCCUAUUUCUUGGGCAACAUUUGCUUUGACAAAUGUCUAAGGUGACAGGCCAGGAUUUCAGACUUUGUACGUUAAUUGAAUUGUGAUUUAUAAUAUUUUCUCCUCUGAUAAUCUGACUCCCGUGUCUGAAUUUAGGUGCAAAAACGCUGGAGCACCCAAAAUUCACAGGCACUUUGGAAAAUGUUGGCCUCUUUUCAGGGCUGGAUUAUGACAUUCUGAGGCCCGAAGCUAUCAAGUGAAAGAAGCCCCAUACCAUAAAAAAAAUGAAGGUUCCUGAAAUUGACAGAGGGAAGCCAACACAAAUGUAUCCUCUUCAAGAACCACUCGACCCAAGUCCAUAAAACGAUCACCUGCAAACUCAAUCAUGUGAAGCAUGGAUAACUCAUGAAGCAGAAAGCGGCGUGCACACUAAAAUACACAAUUCUAUACUCUUCAGGGUCUCUGCAGCAAAGGAAGCUGUGGCGAAUCAAGGUGUGAAAUGCACUAAAGCCCCAUGAAGGAGUCAGUGCUUCAGCAGAGCAACAGGACAGGACCCUGGGCUCCUGAGGAGGACCCUUCCAGACACAUCUCACAGACUCAAAAUGGCCCAGGGAUUUGGGUCUUAUCUUGGGCUGCAGAACAACAUCCACAUUUCACUCCAGAUCGUCCCAUCCUCCCAGGAGAUGGGAAAAAUGACAUGGCUGCAGCGGAGCUGGUGACCUUUGAGGAGGUGGCUGUGUAUUUCACUGAGGAAGAAUGGGCUCUGCUGAACCCAGGUCAGAGAGCCCUCUACAGGGCCAUCAUGCAGGAGAACUAUGAGACUGUGACCUCACUGGGUAAAGGAUUCCUGUCCUCUCAGCAAUCCCUGGUCUCCCCGGUCUCCUUUCCCAGGAUUUGCAGUUCCCAAACCUGCUGUGAUCUCCUGGCUGGAGCAAGGGGAAGAACCGUGUUUCCCAAAUCUGCAGGGCACUGAGGAAAGUGAGAUCUCCAGGAGCUUAGCACAGGGAGUGCCUCCUGUCUGGAUUCUCUCUCUGUCCCAGAAGGUCAUCGGUAUCGGUGAGUGAGACCGAGGAGGGGAACCCUCAGCAGGAAGGUUCAGAGCAAGUGGAAUCGCUUGGGUCGGUAUUGGCAAAAUCUGAAGGGGAUGUUUCCCAUGGUCAGUGUAGACCAGAAAUAGAGGAGAGAAGCCACCUAGUGGAGGCACGGGGUCAGGAUCCUGGGGACGGUUUUCAGGACCUGAAAGAAAUUAUGAUCGAACCAAAAAUCCAUAUGAGAGAGAGUAAAUACACAUGCACUGAGUGUGGGAGACGCUUUGGGCAGAGCUCGGACCUUAUUGUACACCAGAGAACGCACACGGGAAAGAGCCCCUACAGCUGCCUUGAGUAUGGGCAAAGCUUCAGCCACAACUCCAACCUGCUCCAGCACAGGAGGAGCGACAUGGGGGAGAAACCCUUUAUCUACCCUGUCUGCGGGUUUCCAGCUCCCAGCCCUGCCCAGACCCAUUUCCUGCAGCACCCCGGGACAGCUUGACUUUCCUGGGACAAGGUGAUGAGCAGAGAUAGGAAAAGCCAGUUCCUGCCUCUGCCUCGUCCCCACACUGUGAGAGAAACCCUACAACUGCCCCGAGUACGGGCAGAGCUUCAGCCACAGCUCGAAUUUCCUGAGGCACCAGAGAACCCACACAGGGGAGAAGCCCUUUCAAUGCCCCGAGUGUGAGAAGAGCUUCCGAGAGAGAUCAGACAUCUACAGGCACUACAGAACCCACAUGGGGGAGAGAUCCUACCAGUGCCUUGACUGCGGGAAGGGCUUUGCUGUGAACUCAGACUUGAGAACACGAGAGUUCACACGGGAGAGAAACCUUAUCAGUGUCUGGGGUGUGGAAGGAUCUUCAGCCGGACCUGCCACCUGAUUGCACAUCAGCGAACGUUCAUGACCUAUAAGGCCCCAAGAGCAGAGGGGGGAGUGAAAAACACAUUUACUGAUCUUCUUGUGUGUCAGGGGAAUCAGCUAUGGCAUAUCUGUCUGCCUGUCUCUGUAUGCUUGUCCCUAGUUCCUCUUCCCUUCCACCACCACUGUAUGGCCCUACAAAUGCCACAUCUGUUCUCCUUUUGCUGGCCUUGCUGUGUCGAGGUUCCUUCUUGGGAUGUUUCUUUUGGAGUGAGGCAUUAGUGGGGGUAAGCCAGAGCGGUGUAGAGAUCUGAUGUCAGCUGGGUAUAGAGCAAACUUUUUGGCCUGAGGGCCGCAUCGGGUUUUAUAAAUUGUAUAGAGGGCCUGUUGGAGAAAAACGAGUCCUCACUCUGAGUUUGAAGCAACAAGCCAGAGGCAGUUUAUUCUCAAGCAAUUGCAAAAGGGGGAGAGUGCACAACGGCAGGUCUCCCAAAAGAGAAACAAUUAAGACAAGCAUUUAUACCUUUUGUUACAUACAGUAAUGAUCAACAGCUGCAUUUUGUUUAUACAUAUUCCUUCCAAAUAGCUUACUUUUCUCAGCAGUUCUUGCUAUAGUCUGCAUUCCAUUCUUAACUAACACAAGGUCAAAACAACCUCUCUUACAGUUCUUUUUCACUCGCCCAGGCCCUGCCUGGAAGUCUCGCGUUCUUAGCUGUUAGAGUUAGCCUGACUCUUGCUCUUCCUAGAAGACUAAGAUGUCUGCGCUUUUUUCCACUUCCACAGGCCGGUUAGGGGAGGGAGUCAUGGCUGGGCCCCCACCUCCUAUCUGCCCCCCCAGGACUCCUGCCCCAUCCAACCCCCGCUGUUCUCUGACUGCCCCCAGAACCCCUGCCCCUGACUGCCCCCA